rnacentral:tRNA from 1 species
GCAUUAGUAGCUCAGCGAAAGAGCGCCGGUCUUGUAAACCGGAGGUCGAAGGUUAAAAUCCUUCCUACUGCU